AGUAAACAUUAAAAUCCAAGGUUUAUAAUAUUAUUAUUUGUUGUCUUACAAUUAUCUUAGGGUACAAAUUUAUAAAUUCCAGGCUUAUGAAACUAGGGGAAAAAAUAGAAUAAUUGGUUGCUAGGUAUAGUAUAUUGCACAUUUAUUAUGCUCGCACAAUAAUUUUUUCUCCUUUGUGCUUGUACUCAUAGAACCGGUAAAGCUUUGUCACCCGUAUUUACACAUUUCAUCAAUGCACUUAUAACCAAUUGGACAAUCGGCAUCAUUUUUACAUUCAAUAAUUUCUGAAUAAUGUGUCUUACCACCACAUGCUUCCGUUGUGACAAAAAAUAAGAAAAGAAAUAGAAUCAUAACAUAGACAAACUUGAGA
rnacentral:lncRNA from 1 species